rnacentral:misc_RNA from 1 species
CCCCAGUCAAAAAUACGGAUUCGCGACGGGAAGGCCUGUAAUAAGUAUCGCCAUGGCUUAUUGACAUAUAAGAAAUAUUAUUAACGAUAUAUACCUAUAUUGACCACAUUGACAAAAAAGAAAUAUUUAAUAUGGAAAGUAAGAGCUAUUUUGUUUAUCUGGUUUUCGGCAGAAAAAAGAUUUCAAGUUUAAUGUUUAAGCUAGUGAGAUCUUUAGACAACGAUUAUAAAGUUAUGAUUUUGUAUUGUAAUCAUAUGCAUAACACAACAUUGGAUACUCUUCACAUGUGCAGAAGAUUUUUGUUUGCUGAUAAUGCAUUAUCAAGUUAUAACUUUAAUGAGUUUUACACUGAUUGUGUGUCUCAUAGCCUUUGCAGUGACAACAACAACCCUGCAAUUAUAUUAAAUAUUUGUUUACAAGAUGAUUGCUUAUUUCAGUUUAAAUCAUUAUGCUGUUUAUUACCGGCCCAUUUGAAAUUAUAUGUAUUUGUAGAGUUUUGUGAAAAGCAAUAUGCUAUUAUGAAUAUUGAAGAUUUUUUUCCAACAGCUCUAUGGAGAUUUUGGACCAAUUGUUUGGUUAACAGUUAUCUGGACUCUCCAGUUCAGGUUGCCAUUAGAGAUAUUUCUGAAUUAGAUUAUGGAAUUACAUUUUGGGGAUAUGUUGCACAACUAUUAUUGAAAGAAAUUUUUUUAAAACUAAAUUCAGAAAAAAAUGAUGGGAGUUCAACAAAAAUAUCUGUGUUUGUUACAGAAACACAAAUACAGGCAGCUGCUGUAUAUGAUAACAUCCUUAGGUUCUUUAAUGAGCUGCAGUUAUAUUUCGAAUCUUCGAUUGUUUUUAUCUCAAGUUUAGUACAGCCGAAGUUUAGUUGUCAGACCCUUGCUGUAAUUACUUGUAAAGAAAUCUUUUUUAAUAUUCCUCUGUUUGCUUGCAAGCAUUUGAUACUGUAUCAUUCGGUGCAUUGUUACACAGAAUGGAUCCAGUUAAAAAAAAAAGCAAAAAAAGCAGAACGAUGCACUGUUAUAUCUGAUAAUGAUGAAAAGUUUAAGUUGUUCAAUAGAAUUGAUGAAGAGCUUCGAUGUAAAAUGAAUACCAUGACACCACACAAAAGAAAUAGCAUGAAGAAUUUAAGAAAUGAAAUCAGUUAUGACUUUAGCAUUCUUCCAGAGAAUUUACUUCAAGUUAAUAGUAAUAUUAAGACUGAAGACCUUCAGAUAGCCAGUGAAGAUCUAAAUACUAAAGAUAAGCACCAUACUUAUGUGUAUGUAGUUUCUUUUUCUGAUUCAAAAACAAAAGAAUCUGAUUUAAUUGGACUUUGUGUAAAUGCACCACUUCCUUUUAUUUUUCCGUUUGUACUUUUUGACCACUAUCAACCAAAUAAUGUAAAAAUUAAAUUUGGGUUUGAGUAUAACAUGAAAUCAAGUGAAAUGGAAUUGAUUAAAAAGUUUAUGCACUUUAUUUUUCAUGCUGUGCUGAAAAUGACAGUGAUGAGCUAUGAUGGUUAUUUGUGCGUCUUAUUGCAUUUAGAGAAUGGAGUACAUAAAAUUGAUUUCAACAAAAUGAGUUCUAUGAUUGCAGCGCAAAUGAAUUUAUGUGAAACAAAAAUAAACCUCCUUAAAAAUAGACAGGGCUUUAAAACCUAUGACAGAAAUAUAUAUGAAGUGACGAAUAAAACAAAUGAAAUUAAAAUUGUUGAAAAUAUUUGUAACAACACUUUGAAAGUGUCUUUGAAUGGACCAAGUUGUUUAACUGAUUGCGUUAAAAGUUGUCAUCAUAUGCUAGAAAAUAAAGAUAUAAGAAUAAAAAAGUUUUAUGAAAAACAUUACAAUACUCUUUUUAUACAGAUUCAUGUCUCCAAAGAAUGUUUUUUUCAUUUAGACCGCGCAAAAUCUGAAAAAACAAUUUUAGCCUCAGACCCAUUUCCUGAUAAUUCAAAAGCCGUCUCUUACAAAGAAUAUUUUAUGAAAAGAUAUAAUUUAUUUAUUAAUGAUGAUGACCUGAUGGCUCCUUUAAAUUAUUUUAAACCAAAAUUUAAUGCUUUAAACAAGAAGGUUAGUAAUAAAAAAAGAACUAUAAUAUAUUUACCAUUAUCUUUCCUAUGUCCAGUGGACUUUAUUGGCUUGGGUUUGUUGUGCUGUUUUUGUUUGAUGCCUUCUGUUGUUUUUUAUAUUAAGCUUAAUUUAAAUGUUUUUCACAUACAUAGUUCAAUAAAUAAUUUCUCAAAGGAAAAAUGCUUUUCCUUGGAUUAUUUUACUCAUGAAGAAUGUGAUAUUAGUUUAACUUUGGGUACUGCUCCAAAUAAUGUUUCAUCAAAUAAAAGUGUCUAUUCAGAAAGCCAGUCAGAAGAUAUUUUAAAAACUCAUCAUUUUUUUUUACAGUCUCUUGUGGCAGCAAAUGCUGCUUUAGACAUCAACAAUGACUUGCUUGAGUUUUUAGGUGAUUCAGUUCUGAAAUACAUAAUUACAGCAGAAUUACAUUUGGCUUUUCCUGGUGUUAAAAGCACACAAUUAGUUUUUUAUAGAAAUAAAAUUUUGUCAAACAAAUAUUUAUCUGAACUAGGAUUUUUAAGGCAUAUGGACAAAAUAAUAAUAUUUGAAAUAUUUGAACCUGCUAAAGCAUUUUCAUCAAAUAAUUCAAGUAAAAUUCGCACUAUCUUAGAAAAAUUGAGUUUAAAUGAUGCAAACGAAAGAUUACUUGCAAAUGUAGUUGAAGCUUUUAUUGGUGCAUGUUUUUUAACAUUGCCUCAAGAUUCGCUUUACAAUGUGUUUAGAUAUUUUGGCUUUAACAUAAUGAAACUGUCGUUGUUACAUAAAAAUGGCUACUAUAGGGCUAAUUACCCUUUAGAAUGUGCAUCAUUUAAAAGAGUAGAAGCAUUUAAAUCUCUUGAAUUAAAAUUAGGCUACAAGUUUCAAAACCCAACUCUAUAUUUCAAUGCAUGUUUACACCACAGCUAUGCUGAUGUGUUAUAUUUGAAUGGAAAAAAAAACGAAUUUGACAUUGAUGCUGCCAUCAAGCUGGGAACUAAUGAAUGUUUAGAGUUAAUUGGCGAUGCUGUUCUUGACAUAUUAGUUACAAAAGAAAUAUUUAGCAGAAACAAUAUAUCAGGUGCUAACAAAAGUGGCAAUCUUUCUUUUAUUCGCUCUGCCAUAGUUAAUACCUACACUUUCUCUGUAUUAGCCACUGACUUGGAAUUACAUAAACAUUUGAUUUUUAGCUCUUACAAGUUGUCGCAAAAAAUAAUUGAUUGGCUUAAUGUAUUUGAGGAAAUGAAAAAGACUGGAAAUCUCUAUAAUAAAGCGACAUUUAAUUCAUUUGUAGCUUUUCACAACAAUCAAUUUGUAGAAGUACCUAAAGAAUUAGCAAAUAUUUAUGAAGCUAUUGCUGGUGCUGUUUACUUAGAUACUGAUGGUAACUUAGAUGAAGUUUGGCGUGUGUUUUUUCCAUUUAUGAAGAGUUUAAUAGAUUUUGUUUACAACACUAUUCCUCAAUCUAUUUUACAAUUACUUAGUGAGGCACACCCUGAUGUUUCUUUUAAGUUGAUAGAAUAACAGGAAGUGGAUUAACAAGCUGUCAAGAUUCAACUGGAAGCAGACAAAUCCAAAAUUAAAUAGUUUUAAAAAGAGCUCCCGCCUCAAGUGAACGGCGAAUAUACUUGUGUCAUGUCUUAUGACAAAGAAGAAUUUGUUGCCACUGCAAAAU